UUUGAUUCAUGGCUCAGAUUGAACGCUGGCGGCAGGCCUAACACAUGCAAGUCGAGCGGUAGCACAGAGAGCUUGCUCUCGGGUGACGAGCGGCGGACGGGUGAGUAAUGUCUGGGAAACUGCCUGAUGGAGGGGGAUAACUACUGGAAACGGUAGCUAAUACCGCAUAACGUCGCAAGACCAAAGUGGGGGACCUUCGGGCCUCAUGCCAUCAGAUGUGCCCAGAUGGGAUUAGCUAGUAGGUGGGGUAAUGGSUYMMCCUAGGCGACGAUCCCUAGCUGGUCUGAGAGGAUGACCAGCCACACUGGAACUGAGACACGGUCCAGACUCCUACGGGAGGCAGCAGUGGGGAAUAUUGCACAAUGGGCGCAAGCCUGAUGCAGCCAUGCCGCGUGUAUGAAGAAGGCCUUCGGGUUGUAAAGUACUUUCAGCGAGGAGGAAGGC
rnacentral:rRNA from 1 species